rnacentral:rRNA from 1 species
AUUGAACGCUGGCGGCAUGCCUUACACAUGCAAGUCGAACGGACGCGCGGGGUUCUGCCUGGCGGCGAGUGGCCAACGGGCGAGUAAUGAAUCGGAACGUGCCCAGCAGUUGGGGAUAGGCUGGCGAAAGCAGGAUUAAUACAGCAUAGGAUCAGAGGUCGAAAGCGGGGGACCGAUAGGCAUAGAGCUCUUUGCGCGGCCGUUGGCGGAUUAGCUAGUUGGUGGGGUAAAGGCUUACCAAGGCGACUUUCCGAAGCAGGUCUGAGAGGACGACCAGCCACACUGGGACUGAGACACGGCCCAGACUCCUACGGGAGGCAGCAGUGGGGAAUCUUCGACAAUGGGGGCAAGCCUGAUCCAGCCACGCCGCGUGAGGGAUGAAGGCCUUCGGAUUGUAAACCUCUUUUGUUCGGGAAGAAAAACUGUGGACGAAUACCCGGGGGUCAUGACGGUACCGGAUGAAUAAGCACCGGCUAACUACGUG